ensembl:snoRNA
UGCACUGCAUGGUAUCUGCACUCAGCAUUUCACUCCUGCUAGGGUGUUCAAAGGUCAGUGCCAUAGAAAUUCGGUAUCUGGCUUUAUUGGUACUCUUGGCUUUGUACUUGUUAAACCUGGUAUUUCUGUUGGUACAGCA